CCUACGGGCGGCAGCAGUGGGGAAUAUUGGACAAUGGGCGAAAGCCUGAUCCAGCAAUGCCGCGUGAGUGAUGAAGGCCUUAGGGUUGUAAAGCUCUUUUACUGGGGAUGCAGUACCCAGAGAAUAAGCUCCGGCUAACUCCGUGCCAGCAGCCGCGGUAAUACGGAGGGAGCUAGCGUUGUUCGGAAUUACUGGGCGUAAAGCGCACGUAGGCGGCGAUUCAAGUCAGAGGUGAAAGCCCGGGGCUCAACCCCGGAACUGCCUUUGAAACUAGAUUGCUAGAAUCUUGGAGAGGCGAGUGGAAUUCCGAGUGUAGAGGUGAAAUUCGUAGAUAUUCGGAAGAACACCAGUGGCGAAGGCGACUCGCUGGACAGAUUGACGCUGAGGUGCGAAAGCGUGGGGAGCAAACAGGAUUAGAUACCCCAGUAGUC
rnacentral:rRNA from 1 species